rnacentral:misc_RNA from 1 species
ACAGAUACAUUUUUUUUAUUUUGUUUCUUCACCUUCAUCAAUAAACAAACAAGAAAUUCGAGAAAACGCGAUAAAUUCCAAAACGCAAACCCUAUUUCGUCAGGUACACGCUUAAAACUCAGGCCAACUUGCAAACUUUAACCCCCCUCCCCCCCAAAUUGAAUAACGACACAGAAAUGGUGCGACCAAAACGUGAAAACAAAAAAGUGGCGGCGAACACUGCCGCUUCUGCAGGCAGGCCGUGGGUGCGGUCGUUGGCUCUUUCAUUAUCGAUUUGUCUGUGUGCUGUGGAGAGAGAAACUGCUUGUAGGCCAGCUGUUAACGCCGACCUGUGAGCAAGCGAAUCGGCACAUUGAUAAGCACCGCAAACCUCUUGUUUCGGUACUUUUUCGUCGUGCUCUGGAGUUUACAUCACAGAGCAGAUGCCCUUGCGCUGAAAGGGGGCUACAGUGCAUUUUUCGAAGACAAGGGUGAGAGGGCAGCAAGCAACUGACGGCACAGUGCUCAUCUUCUCUCUUGCCUUCAGGCUCCGUGGCUGACUGGCGACCAUCGCAGCAGCAGCCAUCCACGCUGGCAUUGAUUUCUACGGGCUCAUCAUCAUUCUUUUGGAUUCCCUUCCUUUUUCUUUGGACUCCUCGCUCUCGUUUGGUGGUUGGGGCAG